ACUCAAAGGAAUUGACGGGGGCCCGCACAAGCGGCGGAGCAUGUUGCUUAAUUCGACGCAACGCGAAGAACCUUACCAAGGCUUGACAUCGCCGGAAAACCAUCAGAGAUGGUGGGUCCUUUUUGGGCCGGUGACAGGUGGUGCAUGGCUGUCGUCAGCUCGUGUCGUGAGAUGUUGGGUUAAGUCCCGCAACGAGCGCAACCCUCGUUCCAUGUUGCCAGCACUUCGGGUGGGGACUCAUGGGAGACCGCCGGGGUCAACUCGGAGGAAGGUGGGGAUGACGUCAAGUCAUCAUGCCCCUUAUGUCUUGGGCUGCAAACAUGCUACAAUGGCCGGUACAGAGGGCUGCGAUACCGUGAGGUGGAGCGAAUCCCUUAAAGCCGGUCUCAGUUCGGAUCGAAGUCUGCAACUCGACUUCGUGAAGUCGGAGUCGCUAGUAAUCGCAGAUCAGCAACGCUGCGGUGAAUACGUUCCCGGGCCUUGUACACACCGCCCGU
rnacentral:rRNA from 1 species